rnacentral:rRNA from 1 species
AGAGUUUGAUCCUGGCUCAGGACGAACGCUGGCGGCGCGCCUAACACAUGCAAGUCGAACGAGCGAGAGAGAGCUUGCUUUCUCGAGCGAGUGGCGAACGGGUGAGUAACGCGUGAGGAACCUGCCUCAAAGAGGGGGACAACAGUUGGAAACGACUGCUAAUACCGCAUAAGCCCACGGGUCGGCAUCGACCAGAGGGAAAAGGAGCAAUCCGCUUUGAGAUGGCCUCGCGUCCGAUUAGCUAGUUGGUGAGGUAACGGCCCACCAAGGCGACGAUCGGUAGCCGGACUGAGAGGUUGAACGGCCACAUUGGGACUGAGACACGGCCCAGACUCCUACGGGAGGCAGCAGUGGGGAAUAUUGCACAAUGGGGGAAACCCUGAUGCAGCGACGCCGCGUGGAGGAAGAAGGUCUUCGGAUUGUAAACUCCUGUUGUUGAGGAAGAUAAUGACGGUACUCAACAAGGAAGUGACGGCUAACUACGUGCCAGCAGCCGCGGUAAAACGUAGGUCACAAGCGUUGUCCGGAAUUACUGGGUGUAAAGGGAGCGCAGGCGGGAAGACAAGUUGGAAGUGAAAUCCAUGGGCUCAACCCAUGAACUGCUUUCAAAACUGUUUUUCUUGAGUAGUGCAGAGGUAGGCGGAAUUCCCGGUGUAGCGGUGGAAUGCGUAGAUAUCGGGAGGAACACCAGUGGCGAAGGCGGCCUACUGGGCACCAACUGACGCUGAGGCUCGAAAGUGUGGGUAGCAAACAGGAUUAGAUACCCUGGUAGUCCACACCGUAAACGAUGAUUACUAGGUGUUGGAGGAUUGACCCCUUCAGUGCCGCAGUUAACAACAAUGAGUAAAUCCACGUGGGGGAGUGCGGCCGCAAGGUUGAAGAUCAAAAGAAUUGACGGGGAGCCCGCACAAGCAGGUGGAGUAUGUGGUUUAAUUCGACGCAACGCGAAGAACCUUACCAAGCCCUUGACAUCCUGCGGCGGUUCUGGAAACAGAACUUUCCUUCGGGACGCAGAGACAGGUGGUGCAUGGUUGUCGUCAGCUCGUGUCGUGAGAUGUUGGGUUAAGUCCCGCAACGAGCGCAACCCUUAUGGUCAGUUACUACGCAAGAGGACUCUGGCCAGACUGCCGUUGACAAAACGGAGGAAGGUGGGGAUGACGUCAAAUCAUCAUGCCCUUUAUGACUUGGGCUACACACGUACUACAAUGGCGUUAAACAAAGAGAAGCAAGACCGCGAGGUGGAGCAAAACUCAGAAACAACGUCCCAGUUCGGACUGCAGGCUGCAACUCGCCUGCACGAAGUCGGAAUUGCUAGUAAUCGUGGAUCAGCAUGCCACGGUGAAUACGUUCCCGGGCCUUGUACACACCGCCCGUCA